AGUGAACGCUGGCGGUAGGCCUAACACAUGCAAGUCGAACGGCAGCACAGUAAGAGCUUGCUCUUACGGGUGGCGAGUGGCGGACGGGUGAGGAAUACAUCGGAAUCUACUUUUUCGUGGGGGAUAACGUAGGGAAACUUACGCUAAUACCGCAUACGACCUACGGGUGAAAGCAGGGGAUCUUCGGACCUUGCGCGAUUGAAUGAGCCGGUGUCGGAUUAGCUAGUUGGCGGGGUAAAGGCCCACCAAGGCGACGAUCCGUAGCUGGUCUGAGAGGAUGAUCAGCCACACUGGAACUGAGACACGGUCCAGACUCCUACGGGAGGCAGCAGUGGGGAAUAUUGGACAAUGGGCGCAAGCCUGAUCCAGCCAUACCGCGUGGGUGAAGAAGGCCUUCGGGUUGUAAAGCCCUUUUGUUGGGAAAGAAAAGCAGCAGGUUAAUACCCCGCUGUUCUGACGGUACCCAAAGAAUAAGCACCGGCUAACUUCG
rnacentral:rRNA from 1 species